rnacentral:rRNA from 1 species
CCUGGCGGCCUUAGCGCGGUGGUCCCACCUGACCCCAUGCCGAACUCAGAAGUGAAACGCCGUAGCGCCGAUGGUAGUGUGGGGUCUCCCCAUGCGAGGUAAGGGAACUGCCGGGG